rnacentral:rRNA from 1 species
GUGGUUUAGAUACCCGGGUAGUCCACGCUGUAAACGAUGAGCACUAGGUGUGGGGGGGUUCAGUCCCUUCCGUGCCGCAGCUAACGCAUUAAGUGCUCCGCCUGGGGAGUACGGCCGCAAGGUUGAAACUCAAAGGAAUUGACGGGGGCCCGCACAAGCGGUGGAGCAUGUGGUUCAAUUCGAUGCAGAGCGAAGAACCUUACCUGGGCUUGACAUGCAGGAAGUAGAAACCGGAAACGGCGACGACCUGUUAAGUCAGGAACCUGCACAGGUGGUGCACGGCCGUCGCCAACU